rnacentral:misc_RNA from 1 species
UUAAGUUCAGCGGGUAUCCCUACCUGAUCCGAGGUCAACCAUAGAAAGUUAGGGGUUGCUGGCCAGCGGCCACCGGGGCCCAACAGCGAGAAGAAUUACUACGCUGAGGAACACGAUGGCGCCGCCACUGUUUUUGAGGCCCGCCGUUGCCGACGCGGCCCAAGACAAGCAGAGCUUGAAGGUACAAAUGACGCUCGAAC